AGCAGUCGCCACGGUAAAACGUAGGUGGCAAGCGUUGUCCGGAAUUAUUGGGCGUAAAGGGCUCGCAGGCGGUUUCUUAAGUCUGAUGUGAAAGCCCCCGGCUCAACCGGGGAGGGUCAUUGGAAACUGGGAAACUUGAGUGCAGAAGAGGAGAGUGGAAUUCCACGUGUAGCGGUGAAAUGCGUAGAGAUGUGGAGGAACACCAGUGGCGAAGGCGACUCUCUGGUCUGUAACUGACGCUGAGGAGCGAAAGCGUGGGGAGCGAACAGGAUUAGAGACCCCCGUAGUCCCUGUCUCUUAUAC
rnacentral:rRNA from 1 species